rnacentral:tRNA from 1 species
AUAUGGUUAAGAAAGUAGAUUUAUGUGAUUUUUUGGUAAUCAAGAUUAUUCAAUA